CCUACGGGCGGCAGCAGUGAGGAAUAUUGGUCAAUGGACGAUAGUCUGAACCAGCCAAGUAGCGUGAAGGAUGACUGCCCUAUGGGUUGUAAACUUCUUUUAUAUGGGAAUAAAACGCAGCACGUAUGCCGUUUUGCAUGUACUUUAUGAAUAAGGAUCGGCUAACUCCGUGCCAGCAGCCGCGGUAAUACGGAGGAUCCGAGCGUUAUCCGGAUGUAUUGGGUUUAAAGGGAGCGUAGGUGGGUUGUUAAGUCAGUUGUGAAAGUUUGCGGCUCAACCAUAAAAUUGCAGUUGAUACUGGCAGUCUUGAGUACAGUAGAGGUAGGCGGAAUUCGUGGUGUAGCGGUGAAAUGCUUAGAUAUCACGAAGAACUCCGAUUGCGAAGGCAGCUUACUGAACUGUGACUGACAUUGAUGCUCGAAAGUGUGGGUAUCAAACAGGAUUAGAUACCCUUGUAGUC
rnacentral:rRNA from 1 species